rnacentral:snRNA from 15 species
GUUUUCUCCUGGCUGUGGGUUUAGGGUGAUCAAGAAUCCUCUGACCCCGGGUGGAGGCUCAUUAUUGCAACUCGGUGGGCUGAAACUCGCGAUGGACCCUAAUCAGGUGCGCUCAGGUGUGUAGUUUUUCUCAGUGAGGAGGCCUCACGGUUCUCCCUU